CUGUCAUACUUCAAGCUGCAAAAAUUACAUCUGCCUCCGCUGAGCAUCUUGGGAAUACCUCCCACGGAUAAAGAAGAGCAUCACUGAAGCCCACUCAGGACUUUGCUCCUAAGCACAUACUCUUCUCAAAUGCUUUAUUCAUCCUGCUCCUGCGUGGUUUGUGCAAAAGUGGAAAAGGUACACUGGAAUCUCUUAUUUUCAUAAUUUAAACAGACUAAUGUUCAAGACGAAUUCUGGGUAGUUGUCUGGGCAAUCGAGGUGAGCCUUUGGUCCUUAAGUCCCUUGGGUCUGUCUGAUCUGAGAGGGACUAUUUGAACAAUCCAGCUUCCUUGACUGACUGCUUACGCUUCUUAAAAUCAAGCUGAGGAAGGAUUAAAAUUGGAGACGAAGUGGCAAGGUACUACUGUCCCGGCUCUAAGAGGGAGCUUACAUAAACUCUGAGCAUUAGACAUGACUGACAGGUGUGUGUGUGUGUGUGUGUGUGUGUGUGUGUGUGUGUGUAUGUGUGUAGCUCAAAUGCCUUAUUCUGUUUCCCAGUCACAAAGAGCCCUUUGAAAUCCAAGAAGGGAUUGAGAAAAGAAUCAGGCAGUAAAUGGCCGUGAGCAUUUUUUAAUGGGUUAAAGCUAUAAUUGAUGUGGAGUACAGGAGGGGUUUAAAGUAUUCCAAGAAAGCUUUUCAACUGGCCUUCCAACUUCAGCUGCCUGAGGAGUGACAUUAAUCUUUGUAGGUAUUCUUUUCCCCCUUUAAUCCUCUGAUUUGACUUUGGCUAUUAGUUAAACAUUUUUAAAACAUUUAUUUUAUAUACUACAUGUAUACGUAUUUUGUAAAAUAUAUACUGUAUACUACUGGAU
rnacentral:lncRNA from 1 species